rnacentral:rRNA from 1 species
UACGGAGGAUGCAAGCGUUAUCCGGAAUGAUUGGGCGUAAAGGGUCCGCAGGUGGCAAUGUGUGUCUGCUGUCAAAGAAUGAGGCUUAACCUCAUCAAGGCAGUGGAAACUACAUAGCUAGAGUACGGUCGGGGUAGAAGGAAUUCCCGGUGUAGCGGUGAAAUGCGUAGAGAUCGGGAAGAACAUCGGUGGCGAAAGCGCUCUGCUGGACUGCAACUGACACUCAGGGACGAAAGCUAGGGGAGCGAAUGGG